rnacentral:rRNA from 1 species
GACGAAGGUGGCAAGCGUUGUUCGGAAUCACUGGGCAUAAAGCGCACGUAGGCGGCGACGUAAGUUGGGUGUGAAAUCCCUCGGCCCAACCGAGGAACUGCGCCCAGUACUGCGUUGCUUGAGGAUCCAAGGGGUGCAUGGAAUUCCCGGUGGAGCGGUGAAAUGCGUUGAUAUCGGGAGGAACUCCGGCGGCGAAAGCGGUGCACUGGUGGAUUUCUGACGCUGAGGUGCGAAAGCCAGGGAGCAAAGCGGG